GACGAACCGUGCGAACGUUGUUCGGAAUCACUGGGCUUAAAGGGCGCGUAGGCGGGCAGGCAAGUCGAAGGUGAAAUCCCACGGCUCAACCGUGGAAGUGCCCCCGAUACUGCCUGUCUUGAGGGGGAUAGGGGCGUGCGGAACUUCCGGUGGAGCGGUGAAAUGCGUAGAUAUCGGAAAGGAACACCGGUGGCGAAAGCGGCG
rnacentral:rRNA from 1 species